rnacentral:rRNA from 1 species
UGAACGCUGGCGGUAGGCCUAACACAUGCAAGUCGAACGGCAGCACAGUAAGAGCUUGCUCUUACGGGUGGCGAGUGGCGGACGGGUGAGGAAUACAUCGGAAUCUACUUUUUCGUGGGGGAUAACGUAGGGAAACUUACGCUAAUACCGCAUACGACCUACGGGUGAAAGCAGGGGAUCUUCGGACCUUGCGCGAUUGAAUGAGCCGAUGUCGGAUUAGCUAGUUGGCGGGGUAAAGGCCCACCAAGGCGACGAUCCGUAGCUGGUCUGAGAGGAUGAUCAGCCACACUGGAACUGAGACACGGUCCAGACUCCUACGGGAGGCAGCAGUGGGGAAUAUUGGACAAUGGGCGCAAGCCUGAUCCAGCCAUACCGCGUGGGUGAAGAAGGCCUUCGGGUUGUAAAGCCCUUUUGUUGGGAAAGAAAAGCAGCAGGUUAAUACCCCGCUGUUCUGACGGUACCCAAAGAGUAAGCACCGGCUAACUUCGUG